rnacentral:rRNA from 1 species
UUCACUAAAUCACUCGGAAUGCGCCCAACCCCGUCAGUUAUCGGAUGCUAAGCAGGGUGUGGGAGCCUGGUUAGUCUUUUGAUGGGUGACCACUAAUGCUUGCCAGGUGUUGUAGAAG